ACAUUUCUUUAAGCAUUUUAUUUAAAGUAUGCCCUGCCCUAUGAUUUAUAUUUUAAAUGGCUGCAGUAUUUUGACUGUGCAAAGGUAGCAUAAUAAUUAGUUUCUUAAUUAGGGGCUGGUAUGAAUGGGUUAAUGAGAAAUUUAUUUUAUUAUUAUUAUUAUUAUAAUUUAAUUUUUAAGUUAAAAAGCUAAAAUAUAUUACUGGGACGAUAAGACCCUAUAGAACUUUAAUUUUUUUUAUUAAUUUUUAUUAUAGAUUUAAUUUAUAUUUAUUUUAAUCAAUUUUUGCUGGGGUGGCGGAUAAAUGUUAACUUUAUCUUUUUUAUUCAUUGAUUUAUGAUUUUUUUUUGAUCCGAAUAAAUCGAGUAUAAGAUAAAGUUACCUUAGGGAUAACAGCGUAAUUUUGAUGGAAAGUUCAUAUUUAUAUUAAAGUUUGCGACCUCGAUGUUGAAUUAGAAUAAAAUUAAGGGGUAGUUUCUUUAAGGUUAGGUCUGUUCGACCUUUAAAUUUCUACAUGAUCUG
rnacentral:rRNA from 1 species